CGGGAUACCAUACAGGACACUCAAGUGUUAUUUUAUAUUUUCUUAGUUAUCAUGCAAAUGAAAAUAAUCACUAUCAUUUAAAAGUUAUUCAGGGAUAGUUGCAAAUGACCAGAUACUCUUGAGGGACCAAUUUAAGGGCAAACAGACAAACGUUUUGAUGCAAAGAAAGCAUUGGAUUUGAAAGUUCCCAUGGAGAAGAAAAAUGGAGAGAUUCUAAAAGUAUGAAGAUACUCCUGUGUAUAAUGAGGAAAUCUUGUCAGUGAAUGUUGUUGCAAUUGUGGACCAGGCCAGAGUUGUACUAAACCAACUAAGACACAAUGAGAUACAGGAAUGACACAAUGAGAAACAGGAAACAGGAAAGUGAUGACUGAUCGCCACCUGUUACAAAUUCAUCUAGAAAACUCCCCACAUCCAACAAGAGACAGUCUGACUUCAAAAUCUUCAUUGAAGGCAACUUAAUGGACAAGACAUCCGUCACAUAAAGAUUCACUAAAAUUGGAAUGAUAUACCAAUUUUAACUUUUAACAGACAAAUACAUUAUAGAUUUGAAAAUAGAUUACCCUUAGAUAAGUUGGAUGAUUAACAUUUACCUCAACACAGUACAAAGUGCUCAUGUUGAACUAUUGUGAUUGAUCAUAGUCUGUCCUUCAUUUUUAUUAACAGUUUCAUACAUUGUUAACACUUUAGUAUGGGGACUCAUUUUUAGCUCAACUUUUCGAAGAAUAUGGAGAGCUAUACUACUCACCCAAGUGUCGGCGUCGGUGUCACCCCUUGGUUAAGGGUUCGCUUGCAAGCACACAUAGGUUAAUAUCUCAGCAACUACUUGAGGUAUUGCAUUGAGACUUUAUACAAUGGUACUCAACCAUCCAACCUACUUAUUUAAACAAGUAAGAUAACUCUAGUUUGCAUUUAAUGUAAAUAAUAGGCCUUUAUUAUUUGACUUAGAAAUUCUGGUUAAGGUUUUGCAUGCAAGCACACAUAGGUUAAUAUCUCAGCAACUGCUUGAGGUAUUGCAUUGAGACUUGAUACAAUGGUACUCAACCAUCCAACCUACUUUUUUUAAACAAGUAAGAUAACUCUAGUUUGCAUUUAAUGUAAAUAAUAGGCCUUUAUUAUUUGACUUAGAAAUUCUGGUUAAGGUUUUGCAUGCAAGCACACAUUAUAUCUAAGGUUAAUAUCUCAGCAACUGCUUGAGGUAUUGCAUUGAGACUUGAUACAAUGGUACUCAACCA